rnacentral:ribozyme from 1 species
UUUUUUUUUUUUUUUUUUUUUUUUUUUAUCCU